ensembl:lncRNA
CUGAGUUCUGUGAACCAUACUAGCAAAUUAAUCAAAACCAAGGCGAGGGGGUUGUUGGAACUUCCAGUCUAUAUGUGGCAGAUCAGGAUCACAGAUGAAUGCCCAUUCACUUCUCUUAUGGGUACAGACCCUGGAUCUCUCAGGCUCCAGACUACAAUGCAAGAGGAAUGAAAGAUCCGAUCUUCUCUCUGUGUUCUGCCUAUUGAACCAAAGCGUGGAAUCAAACAGGAGCGAUCGAUGUUGCAAGACCUGAUUAUGCAGAGCUCCUAAUCAUGAAUCAUGCGAACUCAAGUCAUCAUGUUCUAUUCUGCCCUCCAAAGGGAAGAACGGGUAAGAAUUAUGCUUCCUGAUAAUUAACCUCCAG